UAUAUCUAUGAACUUUUAAGUAAUUAGUCAACCGCUUCCAUAAUGCUAAACUGGAUUUUGUAUACCAAAAUGAUGCAUGAAUUUCCAUCUCUAUCCAUGUACACCCAAAGGAGCUGAAAACUUGUAAAGUCAGCUGGGAGAAAACAAAACAAAAUUGAGAAAAUAUGGUACAAAUGAAAUCUAUCAAGGAUCAAAAGAAAGUUGCAAUAAUUAUGCGAUUAAUAACAUAUGCAGGGG
rnacentral:lncRNA from 1 species